GUACAAUGUUUUCUUGGUUCUGCUCAUUUCAGUUCAUGUAAGUUCAAUUCAGGUGCAUCCUGUGGACUUUGGCAAGCUACCAGCACAACCUGCUUAUUUUGGCCAAGUCAGUGUCACCAGAUCCUGUUGAAAUGCUUGCUGUAGCAACAUCUCAGCUUUAACCAGGAAGGAAAUUGGAAGAAAAAUCAUUGACUUGACCUUCUUCCACUGUGGUUUAAUUUCAUAGAUGCUAGGCUGGUGACUAUGUCACAUGGUCCAUUCCAAAUAAAGCAUUUAAGCCAUUAGAAGAAUGUGCUUCUUCUACAGUCACUUGGUAUCAGGCUGACAGGCUGUAAGGAUGCUUAGCAGAUUAAGGCUCACCUAGCACCCCUGGAUACAAGGGCUUGGAGCCAUGAAUAGAGUUGUUAAUGUGACCUUUUUAAGGUAGCCAACUACAACUAGGGUUGGAGAUGAAGAAAUCUCUGAGUGUGGUGAGGAGUUUCAGAGUACAUCAUCUAAACUACAGCCUACCCUUGUUCACCAGU